rnacentral:lncRNA from 1 species
AUUUUUAAUACAGAAAAAGAACGUAAAGAAGAAGAAGAAAGAUAAACUACUUUAUUCUAUUAAAAAAUAAUUUUGAUGCCACGCGAUAGCGAUAAGAAUACAAUUUUCCAAAUUAUCGAAUAUUUGCAAAUGAUGGAAUAAUUGGCGAUGAUAAUAAUGUACCUUUAACACUCGUUUGAAUGUGUAUUUGAAACAUGUAGACAAAUUAAAGAUGUUAAAUUUCUAAAUGUAAUAAUAAUAUAUAUAGCGAAUCCCAAACCUAUCAAAAAUCAUCUUUUCCAGAUAAAAAAAAAAUAAAAAGUAUCCGAUCCAUUGAGUGUGGACAUUAAAUCCGCUCAUCUGUCUUCAUUGAAACUUGAAUAUGACGAACACAACGAAACAAGAUCCUUGAAACAAGCUGAUAACGACGAUAACUCUCAAAAA